UGGGGAAUAUUGCACAAUGGGCGCAAGCCUGAUGCAGCGAUGCCGCGUGAGGGAAGAAGGUUUUCGGAUUGUAAACCUCUGUCAUCAGGGACGAAAAAGGACGGUACCUGAGAAGGAAGCUCCGGCUAACUACGUGCCAGCAGCCGCGGUAAUACGUAGGGGGCAAGCGUUAUCCGGAAUUAUUGGGCGUAAAGAGUGCGUAGGUGGUUACCUAAGCAGGGGGUGAAAGGCAAUGGCUUAACCAUUGUUAGCCCCCUGAACUGGGCUACUUGAGUGCAGGAGAGGAAAGCGGAAUUCCUAGUGUAGCGGUGAAAUGCGUAGAUAUUAGGAGGAACACCAGUGGCGAAGGCGGCUUUCUGGACUGUAACUGACGCUGAGGUACGAAAGCGUGGGGAGCAAACAGGAUUAGAUACCCUGGUAGU
rnacentral:rRNA from 1 species